GCGGGUUGCUGCGCGGGGUCCAGAGAGGGUGCUCUGUGAGCGGAGAUAUGGAAGGAGAUGGCUCAGACCUGGAACCUCCAGAUGCUGGGGAGGACAGCAAGUCUGAGAAUGGGGAGAACGCCCCCAUCUACUGCAUCUGUCGCAAACCGGACAUCAAUUGCUUCAUGAUUGGAUGUGACAACUGCAACGAGUGGUUUCAUGGGGACUGCAUCCGCAUCACCGAGAAGAUGGCCAAGGCCAUCCGGGAAUGGUACUGUCGCGAGUGCCGAGAGAAGGACCCGAAGCUGGAGAUUCGUUACCGCCACAAAAAGUGCCGGGAGAGGGAUGGCAGUGAGCGGGACGGCAGUGAGCCCCGGGAUGAGGGAGGAGGGCGCAAGAGGCCUGCUUCAGAUCCAGAACUGCAGCGCCGGGCAGGGUCAGGGACAGGGGUUGGGGCCAUGCUUGCUCGGGGCUCUGCUUCGCCCCACAAAUCUUCUCCACAGCCCUUGGUGGCCACACCUAGCCAGCAUCACCAGCAACAGCAGCAGCAGCAGCAGCAGCAGCAAAUCAAACGGUCAGCUCGGAUGUGUGGUGAGUGUGAGGCAUGCCGACGCACUGAGGACUGUGGCCACUGUGACUUCUGUCGUGACAUGAAGAAGUUUGGGGGCCCCAACAAGAUCCGGCAGAAGUGCCGGCUUCGCCAGUGUCAGCUGCGGGCACGGGAAUCGUACAAGUACUUCCCUUCCUCGGUGAGUCCAGCCCCCCAGGGCGGGGCAGGGCUGCGGGCAGGGCGGUCAGGGCCAGUCCUGAGAUUCUGCCCCGCAGCUCUCGCCGGUGACACCCUCAGAGGCCCUGCCAAGGCCCCGCCGGCCACCACCCACUCAACAGCAGCCACAGCAAUCCCAGAAGCUGGGGCGUAUCCGUGAAGAUGAGGGGACAGUGUUGUCAUCAGUGGUUAAGGAGCCACCAGAGGCUACAGCAACACCUGAGCCACUCUC
rnacentral:lncRNA from 1 species